rnacentral:lncRNA from 1 species
AUCAUCUGCUCCUGGGGUUUUGUUACUUUUUAAUAGUUUGAUAGCGUGCACAACCUCAGCUUUCAAAAUACUUGGGCCAUACAAAUGAUCUCCCAGUUAUGAUGGCUUUUAUUUUUUUCUGUGAUUAUUGAACAAAUUAUUUUCUGUGUAUAUUUUCCAAGUAUUAAGGUAUUAAUAUUUUCUGUGAUUAUUGAACAAAUUAUUUUCUGUGUAUAUUUUCCAAGUAUUAAGGUAUUAAUAUUUUCUGUGAUUAUUGAACAAAUUAUUUUCUGUGUAUAUUUUCCAAGUAUUAAGGUAUUAAGUAUAUCGCUAGGGUCCGUUAGUAGUUCAUUUUGGUCAUUGUGUACACCAGUAGCAGGUCAGUGAAAAUAGCAGCAAUUUUCAA